GACGAGGGAUCCUAGCGUUGUUCGGAAUCAUUGGGCGUAAAGCGGGUGUAGGUGGACUUAUAAGUCAGGUGUGAAAUCCCAGGGCUCAACCCUGGAAUGGCCUUUGAAACUCCCAGCCUUGAGUUCGAGAGAGGUGAGUGGAAUUCCGAGUGUAGAGGUGAAAUUCGUAGAUAUUCGGAGGAACACCAGUGGCGAAGGCGGCUCACUGGCUCGACACUGACGCUGAGGUGCGAAAGCGUGGGGAGCAAACAGG
rnacentral:rRNA from 1 species